CCACCUCCCGCACUGUCGGAUCCCUCGACCACCUCCCGCCGCCACCCCCGACCCCGAAGCACCUCCUGCCGCCGGCCACCCGACCCCAACGCCCACCCGCUGCUGGCCACCGGAGCUGCCGCCCCCACUCGCGAGCUCCGCCACCUCCUCCUUCCUGCGCGCGGCCUCCUCCUCCCGGCUCACCGUCGCCCUCGCAUCGUCCCGGGUCGCCGCCAAGGUUCCCAGUCCCCUCCACCCGCCGUAGCUUCCGACGACGCCCACACCGCUGCUCCUCGACCACCGACGGCAGACGCAUCCAUCCUCCUCGGCCGCCGCGACCUUCUUCCUCUGCCGCUGCGACCUUCCUCCUCUCCCAUCGCGGCCUUCUUCCCUCCAGUGCCUCCCCAGAUCGGCGACUCGAUGCAUGUUCCCCCACCUGUGGCCCUCCCCUGUGCUCACUUUCUUCCCUCGGCCGCCGGCGUGAGAGCCGCCCACGCCACCCUGCACUGCCACCUUCCUCCUCCUGGCCGGCCUCCCGGCUCCGCUGUGGGGAACAGAGUCGCUGCGCACCACCUAGUCAUCACUACCACCCCUCUUCCUCCAUACUACUGCUGCCCCUCUUCCUCCAUGCUACUGCCACCUUCGAAUCUGCCCCCACACCCCAGGGUGUCUGCGCCAAGCUGCCCUCUUCUACUAGCAGUGCACACAAGUUGUUUGUGUAUAUGCCUUGAACAAAAAAUCAUCUCUGAAAAUUAGCAAUCAACCAAUCUCUAGCCAAUAUUAGUGCCAAAAUUUGGCAUGCCAACUUUUGGCAUCAAACCAGUUAUGCUAUUGGUUGUGUUCUGUAAAACACAAAAAAUACAGCCUGGUUGUGAGUAGUUCUUCAAAUGCAGUUGGACGAACUUUUAGUCAUUGUACCACAUUUGGUUUUAAGUUACUUUGUCAUUCACUAAAAGAAAUGCUUAGCUGUGUCUCUAAUACUCCAAUAUUUGACAUUGUUGUGUUCUGCCCACCAUCCAGCAUAAAUGAUGGAAUUGGGGGCAAGGCAAUUAUUGCUAAGAAAGAUUUCCUCGGUCUGCUUCUGAUAUCAUAUUUGGAUCUCUAGUUAACCACAUGCUUGAUAUUUAUCCUGAUUUCCAUAGCAAGUUCAGAAUUUUGGAGAACCUUUCUUUAUGGUUAUUCGUGAGGAUGAGACCUUAUCUUCUAUUAAAGAACGUUUACAGAAAAAGCUUAAGGUCUCAGAUGAGGAUUUCUCCAAGUGGAAAUUUGUGUACAUAUCCCUUGGUUGUCCAGACUAUUUUGAAGAUUCUGACACUGUAGCCACGAGAUUUCAGAGAUACAUGUAUCGAGCUUGGGCGCAGUAUCUUGGACUGGAGCACCCAGACACAGCGCCAAGAAAGGCACAUAGUGCUAACCAGAACCGCCAUUCAUUUGAGAGGCAUGUAAAGAUCUACAACUAAACAGUUGUGAGAAGCGGGAGCGACGUCCUGCCAUGCAAUACCACCAAGCAAGUGGCUGAAAGUGAAAUUGCUGGCUUGAAUAAAUUGUGUACCAUAUGAUGGCAGGACUGGUUGCUCAAGUUAUUGACGGAGCCUGUAAGCUAGCGUUUCCGCGCACUUUGCCCUGGAUAUAUAAAGUUUGUGCAGAUAUGACCCAACGAACCAUCACCUUUUAGUAGAUAAGGAGAUAGUCGAUUGAAGGGUGUUUUCCUUGAGAAUGGAACCUCAGAGGAAUUCUCGCUUCUUCUUCCACAGCUCGCGAGAUCAAAGGGCAUUGUCGACAAAGCUAAGCUCAAGAGUGCAACUUCAGUCGAAGAUAUGCAUUAGAGAUUGCGAUAAGCUCUCACUAGUCUGGCUCUUCUGUUUAACUUGUGUCAACACAUAUGGCCUCUUCAGUUUGGGACUAUAGUUUCUUUUGAAAAGUCACGACUACGAUGACAAAUAAUGCGGCCAUAGUAUCUGUUCUAUGCGUGGUUUGUAAUUUUCUUAGAUGCCCCUUGACCUUUAACAUAACUUUGGUACUUGUGGCA